CGCGGCCUAUCAGCUUGUUGGUGAGGUAAUGGCUCACCAAGGCGACGACGGGUAGCCGGCCUGAGAGGGCGACCGGCCACACUGGGACUGAGAUACGGCCCAGACUCCUACGGGAGGCAGCAGUGGGGAAUAUUGCACAAUGGGCGAAAGCCUGAUGCAGCGACGCCGCGUGAGGGAUGGAGGCCUUCGGGUUGUAAACCUCUUUCAGCAGGGAAGAAGUGGCCGAGUUUUCUUGGUUGUGACGGUACCUGCAGAAGAAGCGCCGGCUAACUGCGUGCCAGCAGCCGCGGUAAUACGUAGGGCGCAAGCGUUGUCCGGAAUUAUUGGGCGUAAAGAGCUCGUAGGCGGUUUGUCGCGUCUGCUGUGAAAACUCGAGGCUCAACCUCGGGCUUGCAGUGGGUACGGGCAGACUAGAGUGCGGUAGGGGAGACUGGAAUUCCUGGUGUAGCGGUGGAAUGCGCAGAUAUCAGGAGGAACACCGAUGGCGAAGGCAGGUCUCUGGGCCGCAACUGACGCUGAGGAGCGAAAGCAUGGGGAGCGAACAGGAUUAGAUACCCUGGUAGUCCAUGCCGUAAACGUUGGGCACUAGGUGUGGGGCUCAUUCCACGAGUUCCGUGCCGCAGCUAACGCAUUAAGUGCCCCGCCUGGGGAGUACGG
rnacentral:rRNA from 1 species